CGAUGAACCGCCUUCGGGCGGGGAUUAGUGGCGAACGGGUGAGUAACACGUGGGCAAUCUGCCCUGCACUCUGGGACAAGCCCUGGAAACGGGGUCUAAUACCGGAUACAACCACUUCGGGCAUCCGAUGGUGGUGGAAAGCUCCGGCGGUGCAGGAUGAGCCCGCGGCCUAUCAGCUUGUUGGUGAGGUAACGGCUCACCAAGGCGACGACGGGUAGCCGGCCUGAGAGGGCGACCGGCCACACUGGGACUGAGACACGGCCCAGACUCCUACGGGAGGCAGCAGUGGGGAAUAUUGCACAAUGGGCGCAAGCCUGAUGCAGCGACGCCGCGUGAGGGAUGACGGCCUUCGGGUUGUAAACCUCUUUCAGCAGGGAAGAAGCGCAAGUGACGGUACCUGCAGAAGAAGCGCCGGCUAACUACGUGCCAGCAGCCGCGGUAAUACGUAGGGCGCGAGCGUUGUCCGGAAUUAUUGGGCGUAAAGAGCUCGUAGGCGGCUUGUCGCGUCGGUUGUGAAAGCCCGGGGCUUAACCCCGGGUCUGCAGUCGAUACGGGCAGGCUAGAGUUCGGUAGGGGAGAUCGGAAUUCCUGGUGUAGCGGUGAAAUGCGCAGAUAUCAGGAGGAACACCGGUGGCGAAGGCGGAUCUCUGGGCCGAUACUGACGCUGAGGAGCGAAAGCGUGGGGAGCGAACAGGAUUAGAUACCCUGGUAGUCCACGCCGUAAACGGUGGGCACUAGGUGUGGGCGACAUUCCACGUCGUCCGUGCCGCAGCUAACGCAUUAAGUGCCCCGCC
rnacentral:rRNA from 1 species